rnacentral:misc_RNA from 1 species
CACCGCUACAACAACAACCCGGGCUGGGCAUUGGACGCUUUCUGCUCCAAGUCACACACUACUGAUACAGUACUGCACAAGGCUGGUUCUGGUUGCUUACACGGCAUCUACUCUUCGAUUGGAUUAGGAUUAGGUAGUGGAUUAAUUAACAUGGCGAGUGUCUGUUUGUUAGGGACCAACGACGAAUGGAGGAGGCGGCUGCUGCUGCGGCGCCUGCUACCUGGCGCUGACGAAGGCCUUGAUGUGCGCGAGCAUCUCCUGCGUCCGCGGCUGGGACAGGUGGCAGUUGUGGAGCACCUGGAACGCGUGCC